UAUAAAGUAUUGUAUUAAGCAUAUUGUUUUUUGGUAGCAAAGGAGGUAGUUAACCCUUUAUAA
rnacentral:tRNA from 1 species